rnacentral:lncRNA from 1 species
UAUAUCUAUUUCUAUUUCAUCCAUCUAAACCUUAGGUUCUUUUCUAACCUAGCUAUCACCAAAAAACCUUUGGAGCCUCCACAAUAACUUACUUAAAUUCUUUGCUACCUUUUUACUAUAAGCAACAUACUAUGUUUAAAUUCUAUGUCUUUAUAACUAAGCAGUUAAUUGCUGAUCUUCAAAACUCCUACUUUGCUAAUAUUCAAAAGGCUUUUAAUCCUAAUCUUUGAAUCAAGUCAUGAUGUCAUUCCUAUUAAAACAUAAAAAGCACACUCCACAUAAGUAAGUUAAGACCAGCAAGGUUGCACUUUAACAAAUAGAGUGUGGUAUGAGAUAAUUCUUCCCAUGCCAACCCUUUCCUUAUAUACAAGUACCAAGGUACCAAGUGCUACAACCCAUAUGGGAUAUCUCCUAGGACCAGCCCUC